GAUUUCGUCGUCCGGCCUCGGGCCAAUCCCCAUCGUCCAAUCGCCCCCCGGUCAUCCCCGCGCUCCGCCCGCCCGCGAAUCAGUCGCGAGGUCAUCACCUCAUGCUUGUCCGCCGUCGCUCUGGCCUCCUCGUCGCGCUUGCCGUUGCCGAGGAUGCGGCCGCCUCCAGCCUCCACGGCCCUCCCUCUCAGGCAUCGUCUCCGCCCCAUGCGCCCCUGUUGAGGACGUGGCCACCUCCACCCUCCAUUGCCCGAGCCCUGAUCCCCCUCGAUCCCCGCCUCUGUCUCGGCCAGAUCUGGGGCGCCGCCUCGGGCGCCAGAUCCCGCCUCCCUGCGCCUAGCGGUUCCGGUGCCGAACGCCAACUUGGCGCCCCAGAAGCGGUGCCAGCGCGGCGACAGUGGCGGAGGUGGUUCGUCCAACGCCGCGGGGGACUCCGGGGACGCGGUCAUGGCGCGGUGGCAGCAGUCCAGACUGUAGUCAACGCGGCUGCCGAAGCACGAACAGGUGCUGCGCAACAGCCGGAGAUGCCUCAGGCGGAGGAGGCGAACUGGCGAAGGAAGCUGCUGUGGUCCGUGGCAUGGAGCCCAAGAUCCCGCACGGAGAUGGUGGGAGCUCCUCCAGCUGCAGAAGCAGCAGGCGUCGUCGGGGUUCGACUCGCCGGCGGCGACUGCGCUGACCAGUGGGUCCAUCGGCCUCCUUGAUGCCUGCCCUGCCUCCACACCCUCGACGGCAGGUGAGGAUUUCAUGCCCGUUAGCAUGAGAAAUCCCUUUCCUACUCGACCCACACCACACUGCUGCCAUCGAUUCGGAUCCGCGGGAGGAGUCCUGGGCCACUCACUCCACUCGCCAACCUAGAGAUCUCUUCACCCCUGCCUUUCCUUCGCUUUGUUGCGGCCGGCGACGUCGGGAACACCUGCUGUGUCCGAUUCGAUCCCAACCGGGGGUCUCCCCGGCUGCUAUCCAUGGCAGAGCCGCUCAGCUCAUCCGAAGAUGUGCCCGAUCCAUGAAUAUUUUGCCCUGCUCCCGGGUUGUUGAAUCCACGUGGUUUCAUCUCUGAACACUGCUUCGGAACAGAGAGUACUGGUGAUGAACAAUCAUGGGGAGAAUCUCGUGAGGCUGCUGCACCUCAUGGGGUCAAACAAGGUUACGUUGUAGUGCUCUGCCAUGGCUUGGGCUUCCAAGUGCUUGUUUUCAGGAUGAUGGAAUCAUUGAUUCAUUGUUGAUCUUGCGGCUGCGAUAUCAAAGAGUGGGAUUAGUGUGUUUCACUUUGAUUUCAGUGGAAAUGGGAAAGAUGAGCUCAAGAGGAUCGAGGUCUCAUGACGGAAGUCAUCACAGGGAUGGCCAAUGAGUUGGUUGCGUAAGAUCUAUUAUAUGUUUGGUUCAGUUCCGAGUGCGUUGCCAAGGCUGUAUCCCAUUCCAUGCAAAGGUCAGUAGUGUUUUUACAAGAGCUGAACGAAUCAUCCUCUAAAGCCAUGUCAUGACUUAAAUAUUGUGAGUGAACGAGAGGUUACUGUUCUGAAGAAGCACUGCUGUAUCUAUGAUAUGGAAUCAAAAAGUUCACUAUUCACGUUAUUCUGAAUUAGCAAGCCAUGAUCACUUAGUGACUUAUGCUUUCUGGUAGCGUUUUGUGACUUGUGAGCUAUGUCCAGUGUGAUAGUGUUCACUUUCAGAGUUGAACAAAUUGAUUUCAGAUACAAUAUGUAUGCACAUUACUUUUAUUCACAGAGUGCUAUAAAUUUUUUCCAUAACUGAUUUGGAACUGGUCCCAUCUUUCUUUAACAGCAACAUAGUGUUUACUUAAAUUUCAGUGUCCAACUAAGGGUCAGUGUAUGUGUGCAAGUGUGAAUAUGAACGUCUUCGAUUUUACUAUGAUUCGCAAAAAAAACAAUCGAGAUCUAUUGAUUGCAAGGUGUACUGUCUGCAACGACGAAGUUGGCAGAGGAGCAGCUUGAAUCAGCUUUAGCAGGAGCCCUCUAAUGUAGUAACAUGAUUUUAUUUCUUUAUUGCUGAUUUGGGAGUGCAUGUAAAAAAUAUUGGACAGAGAUUUAGGUUAGUUUUCACACUCCAUCUGUUGCAUUGAAAUAUUCAUGGUGAAGUGAAAAGUUGAAUAUUUAAGUUUUUUAUUUCUAAGCUGCUGCAAGCUAUGACUUUUUUUGAGUUUUUUAAAACUUCAUAGAGGCUCUGUUCACUCCUUUUAAAACAUUUUGCUAGACAUGGUUUUUUCACUUCAUUUUGAGAUCUUGUACGCAUCUCUUGUGAAUGAAUUUGAUUUUUUUAUCACCCGUGGCAACACACGGGCAUAGACUUAUUCUUAACUAAACUUGGAGGCAGUACAAAAAAAAAAGCUUGAUUUGGAUAGUUUGAUUGUUGAUAGUAGUAGAGAUUAUAUUUAGUAUCGUAGAACUACUCACUUUGUGCUAAGAUGCUGCUAAUGCAUGUUUACCAUACAAUUCUGGAGGAUAUAUGCUUGAUUAUAUCAUGAUGGCAGGCAAAACUUUUGAUCCCUUAAUUUGGAUUCCUCAAUGGGGAAGGAUUAGAAGCCAAUAUCUACUGUUUUUUUAAGUGUACUAUGUAAGAGAAUUUAGUGACUUUGUUUCGUGAUAUUUGUUCUCUUUCAGGAUAUUUGUUGAGUUAUGAAAUUUUUUUUGUAGUAGCAUCAUAAUAUAAUCCCUUCCGAUCAACGCUGAUUUUGUAUUUCAAUCUGAUUCGAAGUGGUGUUCAUAGGCUAAGCCAGAAACUCUAGUUUUGUGGGAACCAACCAACUUUUCAUAAGGAAUCAAAUCCAUAUGAAAGAAUCCUCACUCUCAUACUGAGAAGAACUUUACAGAUUAUGCCUUAUUGAUUCAGACAUUACGUAGGGUAGAGAAGAUUGGAACUCUCAGUAGCGCCUUAUGGGAACUGUACCUCUGCCUGAGGUACAAGGGAACAUUAAGAAAUCUGGCUAGAAUGGGAAAACCUGGUCUGGAAGAUCAGCUGGCAAAGGCAAGCGCAAGAUAAACCGCAAGCCAUGUGGCAAAUUCCAGAAGGGGAAGUUGUUUCUAGGACAAAAUAUGAGGGGAACAACAAAACCACUUGUCACAAGUUUGGUUGUUACAAUCGUGGUGAAGAAAUGCAGGACCCCGAAGCAUAUGGUGGAUCUCUACAUGAUGUUUGCGGGUGAUGGGCCAAACAAUCAGGAGUUUGAAGCACACUUCACCUCCCUCGAGCUUGAGACAGGCACUCCGGGCCAAGUUCCAGAUGGAACGGGACCAAGAAACACCACAACUUCACCAACUGCUGAGGACAAACUUCUGAAAGUCGAUGACAUGAUCGUGGACUACUCCACCAAUGUGUUUGGAGAUCACAUUUAGACUCCUCGCAACCUAGUCAUUUUCGUGUAGUAUUGUAAUUGGGAAAUGAUCUUGCUAUCUCUCAGUUGCUUUGUUGGAUUGUACUCAAGUACUGUUUCAAUUAAAUUGAUAUGUUCUAUA